rnacentral:rRNA from 1 species
AGUGAACGCUGGCGGUAGGCCUAACACAUGCAAGUCGAACGGCAGCACAGUAAGAGCUUGCUCUUACGGGUGGCGAGUGGCGGACGGGUGAGGAAUACAUCGGAAUCUACUUUUUCGUGGGGGAUAACGUAGGGAAACUUACGCUAAUACCGCAUACGACCUACGGGUGAAAGCAGGGGAUCUUCGGACCUUGCGCGAUUGAAUGAGCCGAUGUCGGAUUAGCUAGUUGGCGGGGUAAAGGCCCACCAAGGCGACGAUCCGUAGCUGGUCUGAGAGGAUGUUCAGCCACACUGGAACUGAGACACGGUACAGACUCCUACGGGAGGCAGCAGUGGGGAAUAUUGGACAAUGGGCGGAAGCCUGAUCCAGCCAUACCGCGUGGGUGAAGAAGGCCUGCGGGUUGUAAAGCCCUUUUGUUGGGAAAGAAAAGCAGCAGGUUAAUACCCCGCUGUUCUGACGGUACCCAAAGAAUAAGCACCGGCUAACUUCGUG